AUAUCUGUUUCGUGUAAAUUUAUAUAUUCCCAGCAUGUAAAUUUAUAUAUCCCUUGAGAAGGAAAUAACUGUAUAUAUAUGCUUUGAUGCUUGCUUCAGAGACGUGGGAAUGGGACAUGAUGAAAUGAGGGGAUUAUUCCCUAUUGCUUUUGAAUAUUCAGCGAGAAUGCUGUUCACAGAGGCAUCUUCCAGUGCUCAUAUGUUGCAUGCCAUGAACUGUGCGCCAAAGUAGCAUAUAUUAUUGUUUUGUUAUUGUUGGAUUCCUGAAGAAGAAAAUGACGUUACUAAUAAGCAGAGAAGGUAGUGCUCAGAUAUAGGCAUCACAGUUGGUGCAAUAGUUGGAAGUUGUUUAUGAGGUUCAAGGUCCUUGAGAAUGUGAAAUGGACACUCUCGUGGAGAGUGGGAGUCUUGCUGCGACUACUUCCGAAGAAGUGGUUAGGAAUUGGUAAAGAAACCUGAUAUCGAUGUCACUGAGAUGUCCAUUUGAUCAGUAUAAUGGAUGGAAUGUACAAUGUAUGUUAGCUGUGUUCUGGUUUGAAUUAUGUUAUUGACUCACUGCUUGUAGUGUAUAAUUUGUGCUCUAUGCUUUCCUUUUGUUUGAGUACUUCAUAUGUUCAGUAGGAAAUGUGUGAUUCAGUGUAAGAUAGAAAGAUGUUCAUAUUUGAGUUGCUCUUGUAACACAACCAUGACUAAACACUUCAUUGCUUAUUUCUAUGAAAAUAAGGCAAGUAAUUUUAUGUUUAACAAGAAUGAAGAAUCACUUCUUAUACUCAUUUA